rnacentral:rRNA from 1 species
GUCAGCAGCCGCGGUAAUACCGGCGGCUCGAGCGGUGGCCGCUUUUAUGGGCUUAAAGCGUUCGUAGCUGGGUCGUUAAGUCUCUUGGGAAAUCCGGCAGCUUAACGUGUCGGGCGUCUAAGAGAUACUGGCGAUCUUGGAACCGGGAGAGGUGAGGGGUACUUCGGGGGUAGGAGUGAAAUCCUGUAAUCCUCGAGGGACCACCUGUGGCGAAGGCGCCUCACCAGAACGGCUUCGACAGUGAGGGACGAAAGCUGGGGGAGCAAACCGGAUUAGAUACCCGGGUAGUCCCAGCCGUAAACGAUGUGCGUUAGGUGUAUCGACGACCACGAGUCGUCGAGGUGCCGAAGGGAAACCGUGAAACGUACCGCCUGGGAAGUACGGUCGCAAGGCUGAAACUUAAAGGAAUUGGCGGGGGAGCACCACAACAGGUGGAGCCUGCGGUUUUAAAUUGGACUCAACGCCGGGAAGCUCACCGGAUAAGACAGCUGAAUGAUUGCCGGGCUGAAGACUCUGCAUGACUAGCUGAGAAGUGGUGCAUGG